GGGCACUUGGCACAGUUGGUAGCGCGCACGCUUCGCAUGCGUGAGGUCGUGGGUUCAACUCCCACAGUGUCCA
rnacentral:tRNA from 5 species